CUCUCACGUUCCCCCCUCCUUCCUCCCCUGUGAACUAUGUACACUACCCCUCCCUCUUGACAACUCUAACUCUCCAUUCUCUCUUUUUCUCUUGCACAUGCAACCACAGGAGCGCACGGAUCACACCAACGCCACAGAACCAUGUCGGACUCAGAGACUGCAGCUCCUGCCGAGACCCCUGUCCCAGCACCCUGUGUGGCCAUCAAGGCAGAUCUAGACAAAUGUGUAAAGGCGAAAUGGGUGAGGAAGCGUGUAAGGAGCUAAUGGAGGCGUUUGCUGCCUGUGUGAAGAGCAAUGCUGAGGCGUCAUGAGGAGCUCAACAUGCAGGAAAACGUUUUACUGCACUGAGUCCUCCACCCUUCCCAGCAUUCCCUGCAGCUCAUGGCACUGGACUCAAUGAUGGGGUUUGGGGUUUGGCAGCAGAAAGACCAUAUUUGUGUCUUUUCCCUUCUCUACCCUCCUGUGAAGCUUAAAUGGAUUCCUUCAACCACCCAACCUCCCCCUCCCCGUUGUGGCUGAUUGUAUUGAUCUGACCUGUAGACAGUUUGAGAGUUGA